UACAGAGGGUGCGAGCGUUAAUCGGAAUUACUGGGCGUAAAGCGUGCGUAGACGGUUAUGUAAGUCAGGUGUGAAAGCCCCGGGCUCAACCUGGGAAUUGCAUUUGAGACUGCAUAGCUAGGGUGCGGAAGAGGGAAGCGGAAUUUCCGGUGUAGCGGUGAAAUGCGUAGAUAUCGGAAGGAACAUCAGUGGCGAAAGCGGCUCACUGGCUCGAUACUGACGCUGAGGUGCGAAAGCGUGGGGAGCAAACAGG
rnacentral:rRNA from 1 species